CUCCGUCCCGGCCUGUUGUGGGGCCGAGCGCGGGCGGGAGCGGGGGUGUCUGAGUCAGAGCUGCAUCCUCGGAGGAAUAAACGCCAAAACUCCCUCCUCGGCCGCUCUCACACCCCCGACCUCCAGCUUCUUCCUCACGACCGUCGACGCUGUCAGCAUACGUGUUCUUUAUGAACCUCUUAACAGCACAUUUUCGGCCUAAACUGCGCGAAAAGCCGGGCAGAGCCGCCGGAUCUCACACACGCUGAAGAACUACCUGAGGGGAGGGCAAGAGGGGAGCGAAAAAGGAGCGGGAAUUUUUGCAGACCUGCUCAGGAGGUUUUGACUGAAACUUUCAGUAAGACACUCAAGGCUGAGAAUCUUCCCCGAAGCGUUUAAGACUCAAAGGCAAGUGGGAGAAAGCUUCUUUCCUUAGAGCGAGUGCGAGAACACUCGCUGAAAGCAUUUCUGUUCUGCAGGGAAUGAGACAAGCAGCGAACGAGCCUCGUCUGCCCGUUAGGGAGCAGCCCUCGGGGAGUAGGAAUGGCGCGCUUCUGUCCAGAGCAGCGGGCGCUGCCAAUGCCAGGAGCCCGCUCAGCCGUUCAGGGCGGACGCAGCUCCGGCCAUUCGUAAGCAGCCCCUCUUGCUAACCACCAUAUCUCCUCCCAGCUCCCGCUGCACCUCUCCGCCGCCCUGCCUCCCCUGCCCGGCUUCAGCCCCUCCAGCGAUACGGCUGAUGGAGGGGAGGCGGCGGCUGGGGUUUCGUUCGACGCCCACCAGGGGCUGAGCGAGCCUUCUUCAGUGCGCAAACUCGGGGCACCAGAUAAAAGCUGGGCUGGCAGCUCUUACCCUGCCUCGAUGGAGCCGCCACUUUCGGCUGACUGGAGAAGCAGUUAGCAGCAGCGCCAUAGACUAAGCGUCCCCCCACACCUUGGGCACAGAGAGUUUGGGGCUCUAAACAGCUGCUGCUGCGGCAGGAGGGAGUCGAGGUGAAGGGAUCUGCUAGCUGGUUGGACGCAGAGGAGGCGGCUGUAAUGGGGCAUUAAGUCUGAGGGAGGAGGGGGGGGCGAUUAAACCUCUUGUGAUCAUGGCGGAGUCUAUGGGUAUUUUUUUUCCUGUCUAACUCUUCUGUGCGUGUGUCUCUUGUUUCUUUCUCUCUCUCUCUCUCUCUCUCUCUCCUUAGGGCGCUUGGCUGGGGCUGCUCGCUCGGGUUCUGCCUGUUGUUGCGCGAAAUGGCGGCUGGCGUCUUGCAGGGGCAGCCGCAGCUGGGCAGGGUCGGGAGCUGCCGGGGGAGGCAAAGGGAGAAAACGGGCGCCAUGAUCUCAGCGCUCGGGAAGACUCCGCGGGCAGGGCGUCCCCGAAGAGCUGGCGAAACGAAAAGCGGGACCGGGCCUGGGCUUCUCCAUCUCGAAUAGUGCCGGGGCUGUGCUGAGAGGAGCGGGAAACGAGCGAGAGGGGAGCAACUCGUGCCUGCCUUUGUAACUGCGUCAGUACAAGAUGGCGCAGGGUGUCCCUGGAGAGGGAAGGGAGUUGCACGUCCGCCGGAGGUCAUGUGACCGCGUUGCAUUCCUGUGGGGUUUGGCUGCGGACCAAGCUGGCUUGGGCGGCAGCGGCGGCUGCCCGGGAGAGCCCGGGCUUCCCUCCCCCUCCUGCACAACGCCGUCGGUCCCGCGCUGGUUCCCUUCCCCCACCAGCCUCAUGCACGAGGGUGUAGCUGCUGCCGAGGAAGGUUCUCGCUUCUCUCUUUACUCUCCACCCACCUCCAGGGUGUAGCUCCCCUUGGGGAAAGCUUUCCAUUCCGCCCCCUCUGCGCAAGGCUUUGCCCACCGCCAGGGAAAGUUCCCCGUGGGUGCCUGCCGGCUCCGCCCGAGCGUGGGAGCCGGCUGCGCUCACGGCAGUGCCGCCCGCUCGGUGCGAAGGCGCUCUGCUCUGAGCUAAGUUGCAGGGGGUUAUGGAGCGCUUCUUACUGGAACAGUCGUUUUAAGUGAUGUCUAAAUGACCUCAUUAAAGCCGCCGAGGAAAACGCACAGGCCCUGCGGAGUUGCUCUUCUAACGAGGAGGCCUUGGCUGUUCUAGUGUUGCUCUACCGGGGGUACGAGUGGAGGGGCCAAGUGAAAGUCUCUCAGCUGUUUAUGACUUUAUUCCGUUUGAACAGGAAAAGUGAAUCGCUGUUCUUUGUGUGCUGUUGAAUCCUGUUGCAGGAGUUGAGCAGCUUUCUGUGGAACAAUAGGUGUAUUCCAAAGUCAGGCCGCAGAUGGCCUACAUCUUUAACAUGGGAAUUGAUGUGUAUACUUAGUGCAAAUGAAAACUAUGGUCUGCAAAUAUUGUGACGACUCCCCAUGUUUUACUUUGAGGUCCGUAGGCAAAUGAACUUGUUAUAUAGGCCUGGAAGGUUGGCAAAUACUUUUUCCGUGUCUUUUUUUUUCCUUUUAAUUUCAAUAUUCGCUGGAUGGGAAGUGAAAAAUGUAUGUUUUCCAAUCCUAACUCUUUUUCUUUAAGGAAUGCAAUUCCUAUUACUGUUUGGUUGAUCUUCUCAUAUUUUAAAAGUAAUUUAGUGCUAGUUCCCAUGUUCUUGUAUGCCACAAUAUAAAUUUAGCCACAACAUCUAACCCAAUGUACAAAUUAACAGUUAAAAUUGUUGAUGAUUUAAGGGUGUGUGUUUGUUCUAUUUGGGAAUGUUUCACUUUUUCUAUUCUUAGUCUGUCUCUUGAUAGGUAGGAUUUUUUUUUACUUUUUACCUCCACAGUAGCAACUUGAUAGGGCAUAAAUCUUGACUAUUUAACAAAUGUGCUGUUUGAGAACUGGCAUGGAAGUAACUGCGUGUAUGACUAAUAGAGAUUUCUGUAUAAUAGCUGCUCUUUAAUAUGUGUUACAUAAGUAAUAUGGUGAGGUGGAGUUCAGUUAUAUAAGAACUGACUGGGGACUUGGGAGCUACUGUAAGUAGUUCAUAUUGGUCGCAUAUAUAGCCUGCAGGGCAUCCCUGUGUUGUGGGAGGAGGGGUAGAAAAACAGGAUUGGAAGCAUCUAACAGCACUACAUUUUUCCUUUGUAGGUUUAUAGAGGAUACCAGGAAAGAAAGGGAGAAGGCAGUAAUUAGGAGUGACAGAGUGUGAAGCUUUCAAAAGUCUGUAGUCUCAUUUGAGCUUAGGUUUUAGGAUGUAAGCUCUAUUUUCUAAAAGAGCAAUCUCCCCUAUUUUGAGUGUCAGAAGGUAGCUGCCAGCUGAGCAUUGUGCUAACUUCUGUGCAGACUAUAAAGAGCAAGAUUCUUGAGUCCUGGAGAUAGUGAGGCUGUGCCUAUUUUUUUUGUUUAAAAAAAAAGAAGCUUACUGGAAAUGGUGUUAGGAGGAGGCAGUUGGUUUGUUGAUCAAACAUUAAAAUGACUGGAUUACUGAUUCUUCUUGUGUAGGCAUCAUAUGACACAAGGUAAAUACUCCUUUGUAAUGGAAGCUUCCAGAGAAGCUUUGAGUGUACAGUGAUUCUUUUAACAUAGCAGUGAUUUAUGUGGGACUUGUCAUUGUGAAUACUUCAUUGCAGAUGUGUUAAAGGGAGAACAUUAAUUCCAACUAAAGAUGAGGGGAAGAAACAUUUUAUUAGGAUUUGCAUUUAGGCAUAUGUUCUGUAAUUAUGAAACAGUAAUUGCCUGCCUCACUGUAAAAUAAUUGUUUGAAUACUUACGUUAUAGAAUAGUUUAUAUAGAAAAUUAGCUAGCAUUCUAAUUCUUAAAGCAGCCUUUUAGGUAACUCACUUUGAUAACAGAUUUUGCUUGAAAACCAAGAAGUGAAUUGUUUUAAAAGUUCUCUCUGUAACUCAUAGCUUAUUGCCGCAGUAUUUGAACUGAGAUGUGGCUGUGCUUUUACGAAGCUAUAGGAAUGAAGGCAAGUUUUAAUGAGCUGGUAGUAAUUUCUAGUUUGUUUCAAGGUUGUUUUUAUUAGUAAUUCUCAGGAAAGCAGUUAUCUUGAAAGAAGCAGUAGCUCUGGUAGUGUUGCAAUGAAGUCUCAAAACAAAGUCAUAUGUAUUCUGAGUUAUUUGUGCUGCAGGAGAAUAGUGAAAACAAAAUGUGUGUAUUUCUUUGAGACAGGGCAUUUGCCCUACAGCUGGUCUGAUGCAAGGUGUUUUAAUCUCAAAGGGAAGAAAAGAGCUGUAUUCAAGGGAGACUGGGUAAAAAAUGGCAUGUAAUUUACAUUUAUGAUAGCUUACCAGGGAAAUGAACAAUUCCUACAGAACUACAAUUUGCUUCUUAACAAAGAUACUUCAGUGGGCUGGAUGUUCCCCAGCACUUAGAUUUGUGGUUCUAACUUGCCGUGGUAGCCUGUCUGUGCAUGCAUGUGUGGUCUGAGCCCUUGCUAAGACCUGUUAUUUAAACAGUUGUUUACCUUUAGCCAUACAAAGGGACAUACAGGAGUUCAAGGGUAUUUAGAGGAGAAAGGAGAGAUACUAACAGUGUAAUAGAUCAAAUGAUGCAUUAAUGUCAUAGUUGAGACAGUUAAAAGUGGUCAUGCUGAAAGAUGAUCUUGCACCUUUUCAGCUGUUCAUUCUUGCUUCUGCAAGUGAUCAUGGGAGAAAUAGCAGUGAAGAAUGGACGAAACAUAAGCCUAAUAGUAAUGGAUGGUUUUCUAAUGUGACUCUUCAUUGUGUGGCUUGACAAACAUUCCUGUUUGAAUGAGAGCGGAAUGAAGCACCUGCUGGGAAAAUAGAGAUACACAGGUUUUAAUUGUUAGUGAAGCUAGGUAUGCUUUUUCUCAGGAAAGCUGCAGUUAAGGAGUUUUGAGGGGCACUAUUAAAGGCUUUUGGCUAGUGUAAGUAGAAUCACUGAGCCAGGCACUCUUAAAAAAAAUCCUAAACUUUGAGUUUAUGUCAUUGCUAGAUUGACCUUCAGUUGUGGGUAGCAAGAGCACUUCAGCUUCACUGAAUUGGUAGCCUGUAAAAUUAAGUGAAUUGUUAUUCUCAGCUACAGGCUAAUUAAGUGUUCACAGGGCUUUAGAUUUAAGUUUAUUUUGUUGGAACAAGGUAAAACUUGGAAUAAGCUUGCUUCAUCCACAAGUGUCUGAUACUCUUAAUAGCUGGGGUAUUCAGUGCAAAAUUAUCCGUACAGGAUGAGUUCUUAGUUAAUCAUAAAAAGUGGUGCCUGUGGGUCAGUAGUAGUAGUCACUAGCCAAAUUAAUUUGCAUUAGUUGCAUGAGGAAAAGGUGUUCUAGUGACUGACAACUGAUCAGUUUAUCCACCUGGAUUUGGACAGACUGUGUUCAGUGCUCAAACAGCAGCAGGACAAGAAAUUCCUUUGCAUACUGCUUUAGUCUUUGUGUUACAAGGAAUCUUUUUGAAAAAGUUUUUUCUUUAGCAGUAAAAUAGGUUAUUGGCUGGUUCUACAAUUCUUAACAGUUGAGUUCCUCACUUAAAGAAGCAACCUUAAAGAGCUGUCGUAUGGCCUCCUAAUCCUGGAAUUAGUGGGCUUUUGUACCAGGUUCACUGCUGUGACCUCUGUGUAGCGAAGUGGGGCAUUGGUUUGUUUUCUCCUUGCAGCAUGACCUUGUUACUUGAAGUAGUCUUUCUGAUGAACUACUAGGUGCUUUGGAGAGCAGUAUUAAGGUCCAAGUAGCUACUUUCCUAAGUGAGGUCAUGCUCAGAUUGUAAUUAUUAUAAUGCAGCACUAAUGCUGAGAUGCUGUCAAUAGCAGUUCUUUGAUGAAAAUAACCAGUGAUUGAAUGGCUCAUGAGCAGUUUAUGCAAUAUGGUGCUUUUUGAGGAUCUUUAGGAAGAAAAUGGGGAACAAUACUGCCAGUUUGGAAACCUGGAUUGUGGCAGAGUUGGGAAAUUACUCAACUAGAGACUCUAGCAUCCCGUAAGUACAGCUGAAGGUGGUCCUGUCACAGAAGGUAAGAGUUUGUGUUCCUUGUAAGCUCAGAAACUAAGCAAAUCUUAGCUGCUGGUGUUUUUGUUUUGGGGUUUUUUUUGGCGCUUAUUAAGUGGUGGAGAAAAGAAACUGUAUGGAAACUUCUUACUGUGACUGCUCUUCCAUCUAUGAGUUUGUUAAUGUGGCACAGUCAUGCAAUAGAUGUUACUCCAAAGUAGAAAUGCAGCGGCUUUACUGCAGCAGUAUAUCAUGUUUCUUCAAAGGUUUAGCUUCUGAAGAGUGCUGCAGUCCUAUUCAGUGUGGUCUGUUAAGAAGCAAAACAGAAAUACUCAACAGGGUGGGGCUUUUCAACACAGAAAAGGCUCUUGGGGAGACCUCAUUGCGACCUUCUUAUGUUUAAAGGUGGCUUAUGAAAAACAGAGUGACUUUUUACAUGGGCAGGUAGUGAUAGGAGAUGGGUUUAAACAAAAAGAGGCGAGAUCUAGAUUGGAUGUUAGGAAGGGGUGCUUAGAAGAUAGUGAGGCAUACGUUGUCCAGAGAAGCUGUGGAUGUCCCAUUUCUAGAAGUGCUCUGGGCAGAUUGGAUGGGGCCCUGAACAGCCUGUCAUGUAGAGUUGUCCAUGCCCAUGGUAGGGGCUAGGAACUUGAUGAUCUUGAAAGUGCCUUCCAACCCAAACCAUUGGUGUCUGACAGCAGAAAGGUGCACUAAGACUGGGUACCUUUUUGACAUUGAGUACCACUGGUUAUAGUAAUGGAUUUGUUUCCAGCAAGUUUCAGUAAAUUGGUAAAUAGUGAAUAAUUUUUUAGUAUUUAUUUUUAGUAUUUUAUUGACAGAAGUUAGUAUCUUUCUGUCCAGUUGGCUGUCGUAUAUGUCGUUCCUGCCUUUACUUAGCAGGUUAGUCAUGACACAGGACUGUCAUGUGAUUUCCCAAAUUUUCCUGAAGGCAAAAAAAAAAAUUGAGGUACAGAACUGUGCCACUUUAUUAAUGCAGACAGAACAAUCCCUCAAAGAGACUGUGACUGGUCAUGAUACUGAGAUAGUAAUUUAAUCUCUAGCCUAAGAAAUGCUUUACCAGCUUUAUUCCUUGGUACGUGCUAAGCAAUGAUUGUUCUGCUUCAUUUUGGGCUACUGUGUUUGUGGUCCAGUUUGUCAGGCUGAUGAUAGAUUGUGUAGUAUGGUCUUUCUGUUGAGCCAGGGUAAGCUGUCUCAAAUUCCAUCCAGAACAGCUUUGGGUCUUCUAGUUAGAGGUUUAUUAAAUAGUACUGAAUGUCAUUGUCACAGAUAUCCUGAUUUAGAAGACUACUCUUCAUAAAAUGAAACUAUUGCUUUUUAUCAGAAUGGUGCUACUUCAUCUUCAAAGCUGUGCUCCAUAACCCCAGCAUACAUAUGCUGGAACAAGCUCAUAAGCUUAUAAAGGCAUGCUGGGCAGUUGUCAGAUCCUAUUUUUAAACCGUUUCUGAGAAACACUUCUGCUUCCCUAUCUCUGCAUAGUCAUAGGAAAGACUGUACUUCAUGCAGGAGCCAUAGUGUCUGGGCUCAGCUAACAGUAAUUUUUGAACUUGAGUGUCUCCUCUUCAGAGAUAGUAAAAUUGAACUGCACUGAUUGCUGUUGCAGAGGGGAGAUGACGGAUCACUAGGAAAUUGUGGUAGUGGGCUAUCAAUCCCUUGACUCUAGGUACAAACAAUAAAAGAUUGUAUAGGUAUCUCUUCACUCCUGUGACCAGGGACAGGGCUUGAGGAAAUGGCAUGAAGCUGAGGCAGAGGAAGUGUGUUGAAUAUCAGGAAAAGGUUUUUCACCCAGAGAGUGGUUGAGCACUAGAAUGGGCUCCCCCCAGGGAAGGGGUCACAGCACCAGCCUGAGUUCAGGAAGUGUUUGGACAAUGCUCUCGGGCACAUGGUGUGGUUCUUAGGGUGUCCUGCAUGUGCCUAGGAACUGGACUCCAUGAUCCUGAUGGAUCCCUCCCAACUUGGCAUACUCUUAUGAUUCUAGAUCUGUGGUGCUUGAGAGCCUAGCCAAACUUUAAUAGGAGUCGUGAUGCCUGGUGUCAGAGCACCUGCUUUGCUAUGUUUCAGAGAGUGCAGGAAGAGUUGAGCAUUUUAAAUACUUUAAAUGGUAUCUCUCCUGGUGAAUCUUGAACAUACAAGGUUUGCUUAAUCUGCUACUGAUUUGCAGUAGCCCACUUUCUGUAAUUGUGUGGUACUACUUUAUGCCACCUUUACAUUUUCACUGACAUUGGAAAACCUAAAAACGCAACUUGUGUCUGUAGGCAACUAGUAUUUUAAGGCUUUUUCUCCCUGUGUCUAACAUUGCUUUAGUCUAGGCCUGAAGUACAGACACUAAAUACAGGUGUUCACACAUUUCUAUGCUAGAGAGAGAAUUCCAGAAUUGAAGGACUACUUCAGUGAAUAUGUAUUAUGUAGUUUGGGUCAAAAAAUAAAGAAUACCAAUCAAGAAUUUAGACUUGAUUUUGUUUGUCUCUUAAAACUGGCAGGCAGGGAUAUUUCAAGCUAGGGAAACUACUAUGAACAGGAAGAAAAAAUCAUGCUCUAAUAAAAUGAAUUGUACAACGCAAAAUUAACAUGCUGAAUUCUGUGUGUCUUAGAACUCUUUCAAAACACUCCUGGGACCCUGCAGUUGCUAGUGUAGACCUAAUUGAUGGGAGGGAAUUGUAAUUUCAAAGUAUUAUUAGGACAGAUGCCUGAGGGCUGUAGCCAAGCCUACUCUACUUCUAGGAGUUGACAGUGCAGGGUCUUCGGAUUUCUUUUUUUUCUAGAAUAGGCAAGCUCUUAUUCCACACUUCACACAGAUUGUGUGCCACAAAUGUUAGUGGCCUUUUAAGUGCAGCUGUUAGUUAACUUAGUUUGUCUUGUCUUCUGUUUCGGUGGUAUGACUACUUAAUAAUCCAGUUCCCCUUUAAGUAAAUUGAAAUAGUUAACAGAAGCCAAGGAGAAGAACAGCUACCUAAAUUUUGUAUUGUAGGCCAAAUUUCUGCUUAAAGGAAGGAGAGGAACUUAGCAUUGGACAUACUUUAAGCUCAUCCUACAAUGAGCAAUGCAGUGGUCUUUUUGAAGGGUAUGAUACCUUUUGUCUGUUUGCUUAAACAUGCCCUUUAAUUUCAGCAAUGUAAUGAUGCUGAAAUGGGCUAUAAAACUGUUAACUCACUUAAAACAAACCUCAUCAGUUCCACAUAUUUCUGUAAGCUAACAAGAAUAUACUCGCAUACUUUCUGUUCAGUGUAGUGACUGUGCCUUAUGUUUCAAAUUCUCCUGUGUCUAGUCCUCGCAGCCUUUCAAUGUAGUUGUAGAUAGCAUAUUACAACUUAGAGGUAUUGAGCUGUCUACCAGUGCUCCAUGUAUAGAAGUGACUUGCUGAAAGGUGUUUCUUUGUGUCUGUAGAUGCUGCAUUAAGCUUAGAUUUUUUUUUCCUGUAGCCCACCUGUGUACUGAACAAAGUGUCUUGCUCUAGAUGCUUCUUUCUGCUUGAAUAGCAUUUACCACAAUUUAUGUACUUAUGUUAUGACUGCACUCAGUAAAAGUAACCUCUACGUUCUGUUUUGGAUGUGUGUAUUAAUAUGUGUAGAACAUCUGUUGCAUCUUUUUAGAAACAGCACAUUGCAGUCUUGGAUCAUAUUUCAAAUCUGAAGCCUUUAAGGUCUAUCUGAAGUAACAGUUUAUGUAGUGGGGUUUUCUUAUAUGGUGCAAGAAUAAGUAUUGUUUUAGUAUUGGUAUUAUCCUUCUGCAUCAUCAGUCCCUACUAGAGAAAAAGAUCAGCAAAAAGGAAAAACUGAACUGGGUGUCCAAAAAAAGUAGGUCUGAUAGACCUUAUUUUUCUUCGUGUGUUUCUAAGAUUCUUGGUUGAAUCUGAAUUUUGGAUGUGCCCAGUUGCCACUGGAGUGCCACUGGAGAGGGUUUUUUACUACUAAGAAACACUUCUGCUGUAGUUCAUAAGCUGAAGUAUUGCUCUGCUUGUCAUAUGAUAAAUAAAGAUGAGAUGUUUCAUUAGGUUCAUUCUCUUUUCUGUUACGUCAGUCUAAUGUAUGCAUUUAUUUUAAUAUGUAUUUCUGAGUCCCAUUAAGCAGUAGCAUGUCUAACAUGUGAUACCUUUUUGAAACUCCUCUAGCUUUGAUUUUGAACUGGAAAUAUUUGAAUGGGGAUUCCUGGUCUUUCUGGCUGUUCCAAGGAAAAAUAAGAAUUGAAUACAUUCUUCUGUAAAUAGUGGGUAUAAACACAGUAUAUACCCAUGGUCAAUUUAGCCUGUUUAGCUGUUUUUUAGCACAGGGAAGCUAAAACAGUGAAAGUGUGAAAUACCAGUAUGUGUGAAUGACUGUGCUUAGGAUUACAGAUGGCCAAAGGGAGGAUGAUGGAGGGCUCUACCAGUAACUGCAGCUCUUUAGAGGAGUGGGUAAAACCAAAAAGUGUAUUUCUGGUGUUAACUAGAGAGCAGUUGCUGUAACAGUAUUUUUAUCAGCAUUUGUAGGUUCUUUAAGCUGUUUUUCACUUAGUAUUUAAAAAAAGGGAAUUGAAAAAAACUUGAAAUUGAAUACCUCAUCAGUGGAGGGGUUGCCCUUAACUGCAGCAACAAGAUGGAUUGUAAGGCGGGAACAUGACUGAAAUCUGUCUAUGUUGUAAAAUAAGCAGGCCUAACCUGUAGUUCUUGAACAGUGUACAACUUUCAAGUAGCUCAAGGCUAUGUAUGUCUGUAAUCUACUGAUAAUAGAAAUUGUGAAAACAGGCAUUGUAUGCAAAUAUGGAAUUCUGAAAGACCAGUUUAGAGGGGAUCUGCAUGUAAGUAACAUUCUUAUUUCAAGCAGUUACACUACAUCCAUCAGAUGAUUCCUAGCUGUUGUGCAGCAGGAAAGCUUAGCCUUUUUCCAUUCAUCCUCUGUAGCUUGUGGAGGAAAACACAGAUUGGACUUGUAUUUAACUAUAACUUCCUUCCCUUUGGGAACUCACAUCUGAACUAGUACGGAUUUCUGGCCAUGUGGUAUGCUUUGAUUUCCUGCCCAUAUGUGAAAUUUGAGUAAGCUUUGGCGUCUCAAGGUGCAGAGGGUGACUGGGAGACUUCUUUCUGUGGAAGUAGAAAGUCAUUCCAUGAUUGUUUCCUUCCCCAGCUUUCUGCAUGUGUACAACUAGGUAUACUCUGUAUGUCACAGUCAGCUAGUAGUAUGUAUGAGCUGACAGUACAGCAUGUAAGAUUUAAGCUUUCCUAUUUUUAAACUUAAGAACUCUUUCAAAACUUCAGGUAGUUUUGCUGUAUUUGAUUAAAAUUGUUGUUUUUAAAUGUCAAAAGAAAAUGCUGGACUGAAGGCUAGCUCAAAGAAUGGCAGUUUUACACUUAAAUUUUCACCUGCCAAACAGACUGCCAAAAUCAGCCUAUAGGUUUUCCAUGCAGUGAACAGAUUGUGAGAUGUACAUAAAGAAAUCACAGAUAGUGCUGAAGAAUGAGGGAUUGCAGUACACAAAGGAAGGUGCUUAUCUUUAGCUAGAUACGUGUUUUACUUUAAAUCUGGUUUUGGCACUACAUGUUCAUGCCCAGUCUUUUGUAGCUUUUUGAAAGGGAAAAUUUCUAACAACCAAAUCAGUCGCCUUUUUAAAUGCAGGAGAACUGGAGUAAGGAAGCCUCUGAGCAUGCAUGCCUCCAAAAUCCUGCACAUGUUCUUUCACUUAAAUUUGUCUGAAUACCAUAAUCAGUCUUGUGUUUUACAAUGCUCAAUUACUAGGAAUUUAAUUUCCGUGUUUAUAGAUAAUGUUUUCUACCUAUUUUGUAAUGUAGGCAGUGUUUUUCCUGUAGUUUUCUCAUGGUGUUUAGCUUCAUUUUUUUCCCCACAACAUUGUACUCGACUUUAUUAUUGAGAUGUUUAUUUCCUUUGCUUUCUAAUGUGAAAGAGAAACUCUGCUAAACCUGCAGAUUUUUCAAGACAGAGCAAGAGGGGAAGCUAGUGCUCAAGUUCACAAAUCAAAAUAGGCUUGUAGUUACAGCUUAACUGACGGGUAGGAAAAAAGCUGUAGUUUAGGAACACAGCUGGCAACAGGCUCAUGUCUACCCCCAGAAAAGUAAACUUUUCUGCCACAAUCUCCAGAUCUGUUUGGAUAAUGAUAAAAAGAUACUGGGCAAAAUGUGAGAGUUCUGUGACUGUUUGCCCAAAGUAUAAAUAUUUUAGGCUUUGAGUGCUUGUGUGGCUUAAAUGUUGCAGAAAGACUUGUCUCAGUUAUUUUUAGGUUGGGGGAGCAGGAAGAGUACUUGCUUCCUGUCUUCCCCUCCCCCAGGAACCUUGGGUACGUUAAUGAGGAGAAGAGAUACAGCAACCCCUGAGUUGGUUUACCAGUUCCUAUUGAACAAGGUUAGUACAUUUUCUGACCUGCUUUGUGGAAGGGGUAGUACAGCCACUUUAGACAGUAUUCUCCCUUUUGAACCAACACAAAGGCAUUGAGAGUUUCAACUGAAACAAGUCCACAGUUUACUUGAUAGUUGCAUAUGAAUAGUCUCCAAAACAAUGUCUACUAAAGCUUAUUACUAGAAUUAGUCCUCUAGUUGCUGUUAUGUGAACUUUGAUGCUAUGCCCAGGCAUGACUAACUUGAGAAAUCAGUGAAACUGAAUACUCUAGUUCCUCUUAGCUAUUGUAAGAUAAAUAUAUUUAGGCAAUAGCCAUUAAUGUCUUUACAUCAGCUGUUGUUUCUCUUGUAUAUAGCUACAAAUUCAUCUUACUUGUAGGUGUUGGUACAUAUCCAUGCUAUAAAACAAAGGAAUGUGAUAACUUGGAACAGUACUUGUCCAGUUCAAGCUAUACCAGACUGCUUCACUUGGCAGUUCAGGGUUUUUUGUUACUUUGAUCCAUAGAGGCAUAAAAAAAGCUGUAGCAGUGUUUUGGAUUUUUUCAUAACAGGGAGAGGCAAAAAAUGCAUUUGGUCCUGGUUACUUUAAAAAUUGUCUAAGACAAUAUAAUUGAUUCUUUUUCUGUUGCAUGAGUAUUGGCAGCAGUACACAGGUAUUAACUUUGGGAGAAAUAGUGUCUAGGUCUGUUGUAGGAAUCUCUGAUGGUUGUUUGCCAUCAGUGUGCACAUGCACUUCAUAAAAGUGAUCACUCUUCCUGACAAAAAUCAGUCUGCAGCAAUCCACCUAGAAGUACUGAGCUUCUUGGCACUGUGCAGCAUGUGCAGAACAGGCUUAGAAUCACUCAGGCAAGCAACAGAAAAAUACUAGCUUUGGCAUGCAGAAGUGUCCCCAUGUGUAGAGCCAGGAUAGAAACACCAGGCUUGUCCUAGCAUGCUCCUCAAGCAGCUACACAGAAACGUAGCUAUACUACUAUGCGGAGCUGUGCUUUUUCUUCAGACUUCUGUGUGUUUUCCACUAAUUUAGUGAUGGUGGUUAUGCUGUCUUUGGGGAUAUUGGUUUGCAGUUAGGUCUAGGGUUUUGUUUCAUUUAAAGUUAAGAUGUUGGAAAACUGAGCAGUUCUUGCUGCUUACUUUGAUCCUUCCAGCUGAAGCAAAAAUUUUGUGCUGGUAUUAGCUGUCUUGGGAAACAAACUGUAUGAGAGGGCACCAGCUGAGAAUGCAAUUUUCGAUGUCUUGAAUUCUGGAGAAAAUGGAGUGUCUGCUUACAGACACUUGCAAUCUCUUGCAUCACUAAUUAGGCACAAGCAGUCAAAUCUUAAUCUGAUGUCUGAAUUACACUUAGUUAAAAAGAUACAGCAGAGUAUGUUUACUUGACUAGUGAGAACAUUAAGCAAUUCCAGUUGGCUUCAAAUAUAUUUUUAAUUUGCAGAUGAAAAAUCAAAAAUUUUGCUGCUAGUUAAACUUUUUUGUCAGUAGUUCUAUGGACUUGUGCAGUUUGUUCUGCAGGGGAUUCCCAUUUUCUAGCAGUUUUAUUCAAUACAAAAUGAAUAAUAAACUAAAAAAUUUGUGAACACUUAGCUCUUUAAAUAAUGGUAGGAGUAUCCCUAUCAAAAGAUGAGCCUUUAUUAUUAAACAGAAUAUAUAUAUAUAAGCUGAAGUGGUGAAUCACAUGAAAGAUGGGCAUAACUCAACAUCCACUGUUUUCAGACAGUAGAGUCUGCACACUGCAGCCAAGUUCUUUGUGAGUAUUGAACGGUCUGAACAUAAGGAGGGCUGGUGCCUUCUCCUGUUCUUGAUGAAGUUGUCGAUAGUAGAAUUGAGGCUGCAAGAUGAAUCAUGUUCCAGUUCUUGCUUUGAUGCUUUAGAACAAAGCCUUUUGCUCCUUAUUUGAGAACUGACCAAAAAACUUGUCCAAGUUGUGAACCUUUCAUGGGAAGAGAGUGUGUUGGGGGUGGGGUGGUGGGUGUAGUUUUAAGAAGCUUGUGUUUCAAAAUAAGCCUUUCACAAUUCCUGCUUCUGGUCAGAUGUACAUACUUUACAUGUGUGAAACACGUGACUUAGCUAGGUAUAAUGUAGCCUUUGGAGGCUGAGCAUAACAUUAUCUAGAUCUAGGACACUGAAGUAACUUCAUAUAAUGGUCACCUUGAGCUGCUCUAAUCUGUGUAUGAGCAUGUAUUACUGGUAGUGCUAACCAGUGUGUGAGAAGGAAGGAAAGGAGAAAGCACAGCUUUAACAGUGGUUACAGCUUUCUGGUGGUUUUGAAGAAUCAAUAAUAAGAUGCAAGUGGUAGACUGAUAUAUAAUACACACAGUAAGACUAAAGGGAGUGCAUUAAGAUGAAAUUAGGGCUUUCCAGUUAGGAAGAUGGAACUGAAAGCUAGAGGAAAAGGGGCUGGGGAAAUUGGUGAGGUGAGAUGAUACCAAGAAGAGAAGUGUGGUGAGCUAAUCCAGGAGUAAGAGAAGUGCCUAUGUUGAAGGGAGCCAUUUUUAGAAAUAGUGAAAGAACAGGAAGCCUUGCAUGAGAACCUGCUGAAAGUUAACGUCUGUUAGCUAAUGAUGCCUGUCAUCAGGGAGUCAGUGCAGAAGUCUGGAAUCAUGGGAUGGCCAAAACCAGCACUGAGACAGCUGGUGGGGUUUGCAGCUUGGCCUGUGGACUAGAGGAGGAGUCAUGGACCUGUGGUAGGUGGUUGGAAAUAAAGACUGUAACUACUUGGGUAGUAACCCAGCUUAGUAAUGAGUGAUUAGCAGUAGGGCCAUGUUCAUCAAGGUGACUGGAGUUCAGUUCAGCCUUGAAACACAGCUUCUUAAUGUGCCUGAACUAGGAAGUAUUAUGUUGGGGCAGUUGUGGAUGCCAGAGGCAGUCAUGUCUUGAGAUGUUUUCUUUGGUUGCUCUUUGCUAGUCCUAUGGGCUGUUGUUCUGAUAGCACAGUGUAGUGUUCCAUCACCCCAAGUACUGAUCAUUUGUGUGACUAUGCUGUGAACAAAGGACUGAUGUGUUUAAUAAGGAGAUCACUUCUUCCUACUCUUGUAUUCAUUUUUUGAGUUGGGGCUGACUGUGGACCUAAUAUUAAUCAAAAUAGAGUCCUGGAGGGAUUGUGUUUCACAUAAUGCAAGAUCUCUGCCCAUACUGCUUCAGAAACACCCUUCUCCUUUUUCCACUGUUCAACUAUGUAAGUAGUUUUCCAAAGCACAUUAGUGCCUCAUGUCAGGGGCACAGUUAACUAGAAUCUAUUGGCUUGAGGAAAAAGCAGAGAUGGGGCAAAGUCUUGUUAAAGGCAUAUUGUUAAAUAUUACCACUAUACACUCUCAGCUGUAGUUUCACCGUUUUGUCACAAUUUAACAAAACUAUUCCUCCUGGGAAUGAAGGAGGGAUCUUUUACUGUUAACAUGACAAUAAAUAAAUUAGGCAACAGUAUGCAGCCUAUAAUUACAAGCCAUAUAAAACAAGAGAGUCCAGUGGCCCAGGCAGUCUGUUCUGACUUUUCUCAACUUUCCCCUGUUUUCCUAAUGCUGCAAAACAACAGAGAUGAGUAGACUGGAUUUUCUGCCAGUGUGUGUAUUCUAAGCAUCAAACACUUUUCAUUUAUGGAAUAAAACAAUGCAAUAAAAUGAGCUUAAUGACAGAGCAAGUCUCACUUUUUCAUAGACCUUUUUCUCCUACCCUCCCCUUGCCUUUCCAUGGUAACUCUGGAACCUCGUGAGUUACUAGUAAUGCUGGCAGAGGUUAAUGUUUACAACUCACUCUGUUUUUUGAAUACAGGCUUUAGUCUUCUCUAGCAAAUUGAAACCAGAUGGCAACAGCAGGGAGCAGAAUGGAAUUUAUUUCUCUUAUGUGGCUUGUGAUGUUAACAAAACUCUUCGGGUGUUUUUAUUGUUAUUUUGCCUAGAAAAUGGCUUGUACCUUCUUUCUGUCCAGUCUCUGUAAUGUGGAAGCCUAGAGCACUUACCCCUGCACACUUGAAAGCCUUCACUGAGAUGUGUUGCUUUACUUCCAUUACAGUGACAGACUGUGGUAUAAUCCUAUAACAUUUUUUGUGGGGUGUUUUGGAGUUUUUUUUCAAGUAAAAGCAUCAAAACUAGUUAAUCCAUCUAGAAUUUUUUUCUGCUGCUCUUGCACAGCUGAUGGAGGUGAAAUGCAAUUGUUUUGCAACAUUUAACAAGUCUUUCUCUUUUCUCUAACUACCCUAGGUGAAAGUACACUAAAGGAAGAUUUGCUGAAAUCUGAAGAGGGAGACAGGCUCAGUCACUCAAACUACAGUGAUUCCAGAAUCUGUAAUGUAGACAGGCUAAGUGGUUUGUUUUUUUUUGUUUUUUUUUUUUCCCCUGUGCAGUUAAUGCUGUGCUUUUUUUGCUGGUUUCUCAGGGGAAAAGACUCAACAUGUUGAAUCACAGAGAUGUUAAUUCCUGCUAGGUUUUGGGAUUUCCUUGCAGCUCUUCCCUCCAUGGCUGCAGGAGCUGUUUUUGCAGAGUGCCUCUUCUAAGGCAAGAAUUUGCUAGAGAUGAAGACAGAAGCCAACUGGAUGUAAUAGUUUCUGGCUCAAAUUGUGUGGUAAUUGUCAGAAUAUCACAGGGUGUUGUAGGAACUGCUGUGUUGAGCAUAGUUGAGGAUUUAUUCUUUCAUAAUUUGCCUAAAUGAGUAUAAAAUGCUAAUCUGAAUUAACAUACAAAAGUGAGGGGAAAGAUUUCUUGAUGUUUUCUACCCACUUGAAACCUGAUGUGUGCAAAAAUAAAUUUCAGUAUGCUGAAGUAGUCAUGGGUUUUUUUCCCCCCACUUGCUCAAUCUUAACUCCUUUCUGAUUUCCCAAAAAAAAAAAAAAAAGCUACUUGCUAUAGCUUCCAAAAUAAAAAAAAAAAAAACAACAACCUGUGGGCACUGGAAAUAUAUUAGAGCUUCAAAUUACUAUCAUUUUCACUAGGAAUUAAAAACAUGUAGUCCUGGAAAUAAAUUGAUACCAAGUAUUUUGAAAUACAUACCUGAUUCAUACAACUUGCUUUCCCCAUAGAAGAGAAGUAUUCCUAGCAGCUUGUUACAGUACUGAAUUCAGUGUUAAGUGUAAGAUUGGCACGUUUACUAUGAAGACCAACUUUAAGAGAAUUCAUACGAACUCUACUUCUUCAGCAAUUGUUUUUGAUAAACUGGGUCUUGCAGCUCCAAGAGGCAAACAGGAAAGGGAUGGAGGGGUGGUAGUCAAAUUUUCAGGCAGAUCAACUCCAGUUGGAGUUAAGCUCUCACAGUGUGGAAUAGUGUCAAACACUACAACACUCCUGUAUCCUUUUUCUUCAAAAAUGGCUACAGAUAUGCUGUCUUUUUACCCUGCAGUGCCACAUUCCAUGAUAAUGUUUCCAGUGCCUUUGAGUUUUUGUCUCUAGGCUCUAAUGAUCCUAGGAUGUGAACUGUCACCUAAAGCACUAUCAGAAGUGCAACUUCUGACAUAAUUUUAAAUAAGUGAAUCUUCCAUCCCUAGAUGUAGUUCUUGCUGGAUUAAAAAAAGGCUAUCUAUUUUAAUUAGGUAUGGUUUGUGAGCCUAAUUUAAUGUAAAAAAAUGCUUGAAAAAAUAAUAUUAAUGAAAAUUUUCCUUAAUGGUGGGUGGCAGACUUGUAAACUACUGUUAGACUCUGUAUGUGUGACUGACUGUUUGUUAAAGGAAAAGCAUGUUUUCGGAGUGUGGUUUUUGGACUUCCAGACAGAUUACACAAACUCAAGGAGGCCCAGCCCACAUCCUGUGUAGAAAACCAGCUCACAAAAAUGCUCAUUGUUCUUCAGGGUUAUAAGUCACUGUAUUUUGUGCUUCCUUUCUAUUUCAAAAUACUGUAUGGAAAAUACUAAUGCAAAGGAACCACAGUAGCUUAACAAGUGACUGGUCCUGCCAGGUACUGAGCACUGUGCUCUUACCAGAAGGCUGGGGGACUGGGAUUAAAACUGGGAUUAGGCUCCCUGGCUAGAGAACAAAGUUUGUGUUGGUAAAAGUAGCUGAGAGUAUUUAUCAGGUGAGUAAAUCAAUUGAUAACUGACAUACUUUCAACCUGAAAGUUAUUUGUGUGCAGCCAGUAUUUACUAUCCUGGAGUAGGGGUUACAGGAUAUGAAGUUUUAUUCAAGCGGGAUGAGUUCUCUGUAACACUGAUUCACGUCUGCUCAGUCUUCACUGCAGAAAGAGAGAAUGUGGGGUAUCUGGGUCUGAUACCCCACCAGAAAGUGGCUAGUGUUUCUGAAUCUCUAUCCAUGGUUAUUGCUGGGUUGUGUUUUUCAACCUGGAAGCUAAUGGACCUAUCCACGAAGGGAGCUGUCAAGUCAAAAAACACUAAAACUUGUUCACUCUUCCCUCUUUUGAACAUACAUUAUCAUCUUGGAGGUUAUUUUUUAAAAAGAUUAGGUGCUUUCAUUUUCAACUUUUAAACAGGAAUAGUGUUCCAAUGUUAAUUCUAAACCACAUGUAUUAUGUUUUUCUUCCUUCAGAAGAGCAAUGUGUCAUAUUUUUUGCUAGAGUUCAGUACCCAUUUAAGACUGAAAUAUUUGUUAUGAUAAUACAGAUGCAGCUAAGCAGAAGGCUGCCAUGGGAGUGUUUGAGGUUGUGCCCUGCUUUUCUAUAGCCCUCUGAAAGGAAUCACUUCCCUUUAGUCUCUGCCAAUCUCCUGACUGUGCAACAUUCCCAAAACAUGUAGACCAUAAAAUGGGAUUUUAGGGAAGGCAUUCAAGUAAACUGAAGUUCCCUUGGGAUGAGAUUUGCUUUUUCAUGCAGAGCUUCUGUUUACUGUAGCCUGGCACUGGAGUGAAUUCUCUUGGUGACCCCAAGGGUGGGAGAGCACCCAGGCCAUCCUCUUGUUUUGGGGAUAGUCUCUCCUGGCUGGCACAAUAAAGUCUCCCUUUGCAGUGUUUUUGGAAGGACACACCCAAGUGCAAGUUUUUUUCUUUGUCUCUUCAGUGUCUCUGUAACAAUAAGUGACCAGUCUCGUGAUGUGGCUGUAGCUGCCAGAAAUCUGCAGUGAAUGUACAACUGUAUCAGUCAUUAAUUGCACAGUAUUGCUGAAGCGGCCCAAUGCUUUUCUGAGUUGUGUUCAAGGGAUCCCUUUGUAUACUGGAAGACUCCUUGUUGCCAGUAGUGAGGCUUCACAUGCUGGUGGCCUUGUAUUGGCUUCCUGGAGGUGCUGCUGUCUGCUACAACAUGGCUGCUUUUGUGCAGGGGGAAGGCUGCAAUUGUAAAUACUCUCCUUAAAACAGCAAGAAUUAAUAAAUUCCCUUAGGUGACUGUAUUUUAGACGUGGCCUGCGUUUAUCACGUCCUUGAUGUGCUACUGGGUAUUAGUGAGGAAUACGAUAAGAGAUCUUCCAGACUGGAAGACUGCCCUCUGUGUUUGGUCAGCACAGCCUUAUUUCUACUGGCUUUACCUUUCUUUAGAGGGGACUCUGAACAGAAAUUGUUAAACUUCUUAUAACUGUGAAGCUUUGAACUAAUAGCAACAGCGAGAAUUUUCAGUUAUCUGAAGAAAUGUAUACAUCAGAAAUUCUUACGGGUUUUUUUUUCCUGCACCUGGUACAAAGAAGUAGAAUAGCCCUAGGAACAGGCAAGAUAACCCAAUUCCUGCUGCUGUCCAUUCAUUUGUGUACCUCCUAUUGUAACCAAAGCAAAGAAUUAUUUGCUAUGGGUUCUGAAUCAGGAGUCGCUAUUCUUUCUUUGGUUUCUUUUGAAAGCCUUUAUAAUGGGGAGCAUGCUUACAAAAUUAGGGGAGGUAAAUUUGGGGCCUGUAUGUCACACCACAGGUGACUGCACUCAGGAGUAAUGUCAUUGUCACAGCUGUACACACCUUUUGAUUCUAGAUGGUCAAAUUCUCUACCUUCAUUUGUAAGUGGGGUAUAAAUGAGAGAAAGGCUGACUUAAUUUGAUGGCAGACUGUUGAUAAGAGUACCACUACUCUUAUUUGGAGACUGCUUAAUCCUAUUUAAGGUUGGGAUUUUUUUGGAAAGUCUGAUUUAUGGUUGUAUUUUGUACUGGAGCCCAUUUCAGAGCUGAGUCUGAAUAAAUCUGUCAUUUGCUACAUCUUCAUUGGUAUUUCUAUAAUAUUUUAACUGUAUGAGAGUUAAACAGGAUUAUUAAAUAAAAUUUUCUGAAGGUCAAGGAGAUUCAUUAAUGUUUUUAAUACCUGCAGGUUUUAGGAAAACUUAUGCUGAAUUAUGAGCGGAAGUACCAACUUAUUAAAUAACUAUUUUUCUAAUAAAUAUAGAUGAUAUAACAUAACUGCAGGGAACCAAAAAUGUCAUGUCAAUAACAGUAGCACCUGCUUGUAUUUCAUUUAAUUUGUGUGUGGGAUUGUUUAUGUUGUAGGAAAUGGCAGUUUAUGAACAAGAUUUUGAGGGGAAUGAUAUGUUGCCAAGGCUGCAGUAUUUUGUAUUAUACUGUACAGACUCUGUAUUGUAACUCAGAGUAUUUGUGAGCUUCCUUCCCUUUGCAGUCCACCUGCUUACCACCGCUGCCAGUAAGGUGAAGUUGCAGUGAGCUGGGUCAGUGGGAGAAACCUCACUUUCCUUGCAGUGUUCGAUUGAUGCCCAUGUAGUUCUGUCAAUGUCUUGUUACAGAGUCAGGUAGGUGCCAGUGCAAGGAACGCAGGAGGGGCAAUCUUCUGAUUUGGCAACAGCUGGCAAUCAGAUUGGCUUUAUGGUUUCAUCAAGUUGUAUCUGUAAGUUGUGCCCACAUCUGUACCUAUGUGGAAAGGUGUCCUUCCCUACUGUCAGGUGCAGCCCAUCUCCUGAGCACUGCCACUGUUGGUCAGCUGCUUGACAAAAAGGUAGGUAGGGGACACAGACUUAGCUGGCUGUGAGAUUCUAGGAUCUAGUCCUAGAUUUCUAGGACUGAUGGAGAGAGAACUGCUUAACACAUCAGGUUCAGAUGGGCCUGUGUGUUCACAUUACAAGAUGAAAUACGUGACUCUAAAGAAGCAUUAGCUCUGACCUGGGUGGCUGCAAAAUAAAGGAAUCCAUGUAGUAGAAAGACAGAUAAAAGAAUGGCUUACCAAGGCAGUUGGUAAUGCACUAGUAUAACUUGGGAUAAGAAAAAGAAAAAAGGAAGGGAAGAUCUAGAAAUCCCAGCCAGUUUAUCUGGAUCAUUAGACUGGUGUCAAAAUACUCUGAAAUGUGUGGACUGGGAUAAGACAGUAGAAGGUCACCAUUACCUUAGGAAAAAAAGAAAAGGCCGCAAGCAGUGUCUCUCCAAGGACCUGGUUUUUUACUACCUACUGUUACAAGUGACACUAGAGAUUACUAAAACUGGAAGAAAUUAGACGAACCAAACCCUUUUCUUGUUUUCUGGUUAGCGCCAUUGCUAACAUUCUUGGCAGAACUUCACAGGCGCUUUCCGUGGGUUUUGUGCUUGGUUGCACUUCCUGUCUCAUUUAUUGGCAUAAUGAUGUCAUUCUUGCACACCACUGGGGAGGAGCACAGCAGUGUGCUCUGCCCCAACUCCUGUGAGAAAAGCUUUCUUGUGCCCCUACAAGAAGACCUUGCUCCUGCUCUGAUGGCUAAAAUCCAAAUGGAAGAUCCGUUUUUUGGGCCUCCCCUGUAUGGAAGUGGGAGGCAGAGCAGGAAGAAGAGGCAGCAGGAGAAGUGGCAUGUCAUGUCAUCUUUGGUAGGAAGCUACUUACAGGAACAUCUGUGUUCACCUAAUACGGGUGAGCACCUGGAGCCUGCAUAGCUCUGUGUGUGCCUCUAGAGUCUUUGCGGAGCUGUAGAAGAGAAGGCAGAGGUAGGGAAUAUGCUUUCCCUAAGCAAACAAUACAGUGAAAAGCAGGAAUGAGAGCUUCAAACACAUCCCUGCUCCUCUGGCCAGGCAACCCUGCUCGUGGGAGGAAAGCACUGAGAAAGUCCUAUUUGCCCAGUGCUCCUUCAUAGACCAGAAGAGUAGCAGGGUUUGUUUUUCUGGGUCGCCUGCCUGUCCCAAGAAGGCAGCAUGGAUCAAACAGUUUGUCCUUGGGGAUGUUGCUGCAGGAGAGGGAGGAAUGUGGCUUCAAGAGAGGGAACAGGUGGACCUGCAAACCUGGGGAGCAGCCUGGGCCUGCUGCUUGGCUGUACCUCUGCACAGGCCAGGUUGUGCUGUGCAAGCUGCAAUUUGCAGAGAGCUUUAAAGUGGUAGAAAUUGGUGUGCUAAAAUGAACUUGGGAAAACUUAAAUCCGGCUCAAAGGGGCUCUUCCAGCAUGAGUCAUCUGCAGCUGUGGAGAAGCCCUGGGCAGAGCCUUCCUCCCCACUGCUGAAUGGAGCUGUCAGAGCGCUUGGAGCCAGGGCAGGGAGAAAAAAUACCCCAGUUCAUUUCCUAACAAGGUAUGCAUGGGAGAAUUCCCCAAGGGGGCACUGGUGGGGGUUUGUCGCUCUGUGUUUUUCAAUCCCACAGCUCCACAUAAGAACACUGUGCAGCUUGAAACACCCUAAGCCCAUCCCCAGGAAGCAGACAAUGGUGUUGAUAUGGCUGUUGCUGCAGAGGAAGUGGCUUCUGUUACAACCAACAAACAAAGUCUGUUUUUGGGUGGUUGCCAGAAUAAAUUAGACAUAAAAUUAUUUUGCCUCUUUGCCUUUAGUCUUGUUGUCUUGGAGAUGUUCCUUUUGCUUCCUAACAUUUAAAUCUCACCUGCGGCAGGAUUUCCACUCCCUCACACCCCCCCCCCCCCCC